rnacentral:rRNA from 1 species
CUCCGGUUGAUCCUGCCGGACCCGACUGCUAUCAGAGUGGGACUAAGCCAUGCGAGUCAACAUAGCAAUAUGUGGCAUACGGCUCAGUAACACGUAGUCAACAUGCCCAGGGGACGUGGAUAACCUCGGGAAACUGAGGAUAAACCGCGAUAGGUCAUCACUUCUGGAAUGGGUAAUGACUUAAAUCUAUAUGGCCCCUGGAUUGGACUGCGGCCGAUCAGGCUGUUGGUGAGGUAAUGGCCCACCAAACCUGUAACCGGUACGGGCCUUGAGAGAGGUGGCCCGGAGAUGGACACUGAGACAAGGGUCCAGGUCCUACGGGGCGCAGCAGGCGCGAAACCUUCGCAAUGCGCGAAAGCGUGACGAGGUUAAUCCGAGUGGCUUCCGCUGAGGAAGUCUUUUGCCGACUGUAAAAAGGUCGGAGAAUAAGGGGAGGGCAAGUCUGGUGUCAGCCGCCGCGGUAAUACCAGCUCCUCGAGUGGUCGGGGCGAUUAUUGGGCCUAAAGCAUCCGUAGCCGGUUCCGUAGGUCUCCUGCAAAAUCCAGUCGCUCAACGAUUGGCCCGCAGGAGAUACCGCGGGACUAGGAGGCGGGAGAGGUGGACGGUACUCCACGUGUAGGGGUAAAAUCCUUUGAUCCGUGGAAGACCACCAGAUUGCUUGCGGUUAACGACCACAAGCACGGUGAAUGGCGAAGGCGGUUCACCAGAACGCGCUCGACGGUGAGGGAUGAAAGCUGGGGGAGCGAACCGGAUUAGAUACCCGGGUAGUCCCAGCCGUAAACGAUGCGAGCUAGAUGAUCCAGUCGCAAAUCGCGACUGGAGUGUCGCAGGGAAGCCGUUAAGCUCGCCGCCUGGGGAGUACGGUCGCAAGACUGAAACUUAAAGGAUUGGCGGGGGAGCA